AAGAAGUAGGUUCAAGAUAGUCACGCAGUCUGAAAACUGUUGCCCUCUUGUCUGCUGCUAUCUGUUAUCUCCUGCUGUGAAGAACUUUUGUCAUCAGCCCUGAGCUCACACAACGACAACAACCAGGCACAAAAGUGUAGGGAGAUCAACCUAGAAGCAAAUCAGUUGCUUCAGGAAAUGGGAUUUUUUUUUUCCUCCUCAGUUUAGUACUCAGAUCUUAAAAGGAAGUAAAUUAGGAAACC
rnacentral:lncRNA from 1 species